rnacentral:sRNA from 1 species
UCAUCCUUAUCAUAUGGACCAAGGAUGCGAUCUCGAUAGUAGAAGGUGCUCUGACGUUGGUUUUCUUCCCUGUCAUGGUACUGAUUGCGUAUUGGGCCGACAUUGGUUUUCUGUGCUUCGCAAAGGACGCGAAGGCAACCCCAGAAGAAGAUGGU